UGGGGAAUAUUGCACAAUGGGCGAAAGCCUGAUCCAGCAAUUCCGCGUGUGUGAAGAAGGCCUUCGGGUUGUAAAGCACUUUAGUGGGGGAAGAAACAGCUUGGCCACACCAAGCCUUGACGGUACCCCAAGAAUAAGCACCGGCUAACUCUGUGCCAGCAGCCGCGGUAAUACAGAGGGUGCAAGCGUUAAUCGGAUUUACUGGGCGUAAAGGGUGCGUAGGUGGUUUUUUAAGUCGGAUGUGAAAGCCUGGGGCUCAACCUCAGAAUUGCAUUCGAUACUGGGAAACUAGAGUUCGGUAGAGGGCGGCGGAAUUUCCGGUGUAGCGGUGAAAUGCGUAGAUAUCGGAAGGAACAUCAAUGGCGAAGGCAGCCGCCUGGGCCUGGACUGACACUGAGGCACGAAAGCGUGGGUAGCAAACA
rnacentral:rRNA from 1 species